CAAGGACUCUGACAAAAAGAGAGUUUUGACAUCGACCGACAUGGUGAAGGUUACACGAACUGGUCUCAGAAGAUUCCUAAAACCUCUGAACAGGGACAGACGAGACGACCAGAGGACGAGCAGCAGAGGACGGACGGAGAGGCAGAUCAAUGGGACAAACAGACAGGCAGUAACAGUGUGAGAGUUAAACAGGACAGUGAUGGUGACGAAAGCCGCACUUCUUCUCUCUGAUCUGAACACAGCAGCUUUCAGUCCGUAUUGUAUGGAGUCUGCAGAGAGCCACUAAAGUAAUUAGAGACUUUUAUUGUGUUAAUUACAUCCAGUUAACACAUUUAAGGCAAGAUGUGUUUAUUUGUAAAUGACUCAAGGCACUACAAGCUGUCUGCUGCCCAAAUAUUUAUGUUCUUCAGAAAUGUAUUUUGGCCCAAAAGGCUGAGAUUUAAGGACAGGAGCGAUUUUCUUAGCUCUCCUGGUUCUUCUGAGAAGACACGAACGAGUUUCUUUAAAUCCAGUCUGAACAUGAGACCUCUAAUUCUUCCCUUUGUUUUUAGAUGAUAAAAUCCUGAUUUAUUUAUUCUCUUGAUGUGGCUGCUGAAGCUCAGAUGCCAGUCUUUUUAAAAACAUUUUAAACAUCUAUUAUAAAUUGAUUACUUAAAGGUCCAGUGUGUAACAUUUAGGAGGAUCUAUUGGCAGAAAUAUAAUAUUCAUAAGUAUGUUUUCAUUAGUGUAUAAAUCACCUGAAAAUAAGAAGCGUUGUGUUUUCGUUACCUUAGAAUAAGUCGUUUUUAUCUACAGAAGGAGCGGGAGGGAGAGUUCACUGAGGAUUUGUUAUAAGUUUAAUUAUUAAUCUAGUAUUAUCUCAAUUUACUUUAUUGUGUCUGUAAAACAGCAGCCAUGAAGCAGUCUGCGAUGGUCUUUCAUGUUUUUAUUUUUUCAGAAAUUAAAAUGUUUAAAUGUCACUUACCUCUGUUUUGUUUUCAGACACAACUUUAUUUUUUUACCCCCCCCCCAUGCACUGUAUUAGUAAUAAUGUAAAUAAUAUUACCACAGCUCUGCAGUAACACCGCUACAUUAAACUGCCACAAACGUUUUAUGUGGCUGCAGCCCAAUAAUCAAUCUGUGCAGAUCGAUCUGUUAUAAAAUGCUUUUGAAUUGUAUAAGUUUGGAGUUUUGUUUUAAUAUUUGCAAAGUAUGAAAUAAAUAAAUGUACAGAC